UAAUUGUGGUUGAGGCUGUAGCUGGCACCCUAGCUGAGCUCAAAUCCUGAAGUUAAGAGUUGCUGCAUUGGGCCCUUGCUUGAUUUUUAUUAGAAAAGAAUAAAUCAUUCUGCAAUUUACUGCUACAAAAAGAGAAACUCUCCUUACUGUAGUGGAACAUAUUACAUAUUAUAAAAACCAAGUUUAGAUACCAAUUAAGCAAAUAAAUAUUUAGUGAGCAUUUAUCCUUUACCAAUGACUCUUUUUGUGAAGACACAAAGAUGAACAAGCUCUGAUCCCUGACUCUGAGAAGUUCAGUUCUGAGAAGUCUAUUUCCCAUGUCCCCACACCUCAUCUGUACGUGAAGAUAAGCCAGAUGGUCUUGAAGGGCUCACCUCAUCCCAAAAACCAGUGGUUCCACACCCAGAUCACAGGAGAGACUACAUCUCUAGGAAUCAUCACACCAGGCAACAGAUUACAGGUCCCACCUGAAGCCUAUGUAGACAUUUCUGCUUCCACACCCACAAAGAGAAUUGAUGCACCAUGUCAGAGAAAACUGUUUUAUAUGUCUUUGGACAAAUUUACCCCAGUUUGACUUCUGCUGCUAAGACUCCAGCUUGCAGAGCUCUGCCAGGCCUGAGCCCCAGCACGUUGUGAGAUGCUUUAUAUAGAAGAGCAC